GAUGAACGCUGGCGGCGUGCCUAAUACAUGCAAGUCGAGCGAACAGACGAGGAGCUUGCUCCUCUGACGUUAGCGGCGGACGGGUGAGUAACACGUGGAUAACCUACCUAUAAGACUGGGAUAACUUCGGGAAACCGGAGCUAAUACCGGAUAAUAUAUUGAACCGCAUGGUUCAAUAGUGAAAGACGGUUUUGCUGUCACUUAUAGAUGGAUCCGCGCCGCAUUAGCUAGUUGGUAAGGUAACGGCUUACCAAGGCAACGAUGCGUAGCCGACCUGAGAGGGUGAUCGGCCACACUGGAACUGAGACACGGUCCAGACUCCUACGGGAGGCAGCAGUAGGGAAUCUUCCGCAAAGGGCGAAAGCUUGACGUAGCAACGCCGCGUGAGUGAUGAAGGUCUUCGGAUCGUAAAACUCUGUUAUUAGGGAAGAACAAAUGUGUAAGUAACUAUGCACGUCUUGACGGUACCUAAUCAGAAAGCCACGGCUAACUACGUG
rnacentral:rRNA from 1 species